rnacentral:rRNA from 1 species
GACGAACGCUGGCGGCGUGCCUAAUACAUGCAAGUCGGACGCAGUUGCGAACGUGAGAGUAACGCGUAGGUAACUGCCUAUUAGAGGGGGAUAACUAUUGGAAACGAUAGCUAAUACCGCAUACUAGUUGAUGUACCUGCGUUGUUUUAGCUAGUAGGUAGGGUAAUGGCCUACCUAGGCGACGAUACAUAGUCGAGCGGAGAGUGUGGUCGGGCACCAUGGGACAGAGAAACGGGCCAAGCUCCGUCUGGAUGCAGGAGGAGGGAAUCUUCGGCAAUGGGGGGCACCCUGGCCGAGCAACGGCGCGUGAGUGGAGAAGGGUUUCGGGUCGUAAAGGUCUGUUGUUAAGGAAGCGGUACUUAAACAGAAAGGGACGGCUAACUACGUGCCAGCAGCCGCGGUAAUUC